rnacentral:tRNA from 1 species
GCGGGUAUAGCUCAGUGGUAGAGUAUGUGCUUAGCAUGCGCAAAGUCCUGGGUUCAAUUCCCAGUACCUCCA